rnacentral:rRNA from 1 species
UACAGAGGUCUCAAGCGUUGUUCGGAUUCAUUGGGCGUAAAGGGCGCGUAGGCGGCGGGGUAAGUCGGGUGUGAAAUCUCAGAGCUCAACUCUGAAAUGGCACUUGAUACUGCUCUGCUAGAGGACUGGAGAGGAGAUUGGAAUUCACGGUGUAGCAGUGAAAUGCGUAGAUAUCGUGAGGAAGACCGGUGGCGAAGGCGGAUCUCUGGACAGUUCCUGACGCUGAGGCACGAAAGCGUGGGGAGCAAACAGG